GGCUCGGUAGCUUAGUUGGUAAAGCGCUCGUCUAGCAUACAAGAGUCCUGGGUUCAAAUCCCCGCCGAGCAC
rnacentral:tRNA from 1 species